rnacentral:rRNA from 1 species
CCUACGGGAGGCAGCAGUGGGGAAUAUUGCACAAUGGGGGAAACCCUGAUGCAGCGACGCCGCGUGAGUGAAGAAGUAUUUCGGUACGUAAAGCUCUAUCAGCAGGGAAGAAAAUGACGGUACCUGACUAAGAAGCCCCGGCUAACUACGUGCCAGCAGCCGCGGUAAUACGUAGGGGGCAAGCGUUAUCCGGAUUUACUGGGGGUAAAGGGAGCGUAGACGGCAGCGCAAGUCUGGAGUGAAAUCCCAUGGCUUAACCAUGGAACUGCUUUGGAAACUGUGCAGCUAGAGUGCAGGAGAGGUAAGCGGAAUUCCUAGUGUAGCGGUGAAAUGCGUAGAUAUUAGGAGGAACACCAGUUGCGAAGGCGGCUUACUGGACUGUAACUGACGUUGAGGCUCGAAAGCGUGGGGAGCAAACAGGAUUAGAUACCCGGGUAGUC